rnacentral:rRNA from 1 species
AAUAUUAGACAAUUGGCGAAAUCCUGAUCCAGCCAUGCCGCGUGUGUGAAGAAGGUCUUCGGAUUGUAAAGCACUUUAAGAUGGGAGGCAGGGCUUUAGUUUAAUAUAUGGAAGCUUCGACGUUACCAAUUGAAUAAGCACCUGCUAACUCUGUGCCAGCAGCCGCGGUAAUACAGAGGGUGCAAACGUUAAUCGGAAUUACGUGUCGUAAAGCGCGCGUAGGUGGUUCAGUAAGAUGGGUGUGAAAUCCCCGGGCUUAACCUGGGAACUGCUUUCAUAACUGCUGAGCUAGAGUACGGUAGAGGAUAGUGGAAUUUCCUGUGUAGCGGUGAAAUGCGUAGAUAUAGGAAGGAACACCAGUGGCGAAGGCGACUACCUGGACUGAUACUGACACUGAGGUGCGAAAGCGUGGGGAGCAAAC